UACAGAGGGUGCGAGCGUUUGUCCGGAAUCACUGGGCGUAAAGGGCGCGUAGGCGGCUUGAUAAGUAGGGGGGUGAAAUCUUGCGGCUCAACUGCAAGGCUGCCUCCUAAACUGACAGGCUUGAGCACAGUAGAGGCAGGUGGAAUUCCCGGUGUAGCAGUGAAAUGCGUAGAUAUCGGGGAGGAAUACCGAUGGCGAAGGCAGGUCUCUGGGCUAUAACUGACGCUCUGCACGAAAAG
rnacentral:rRNA from 1 species